GCCAACAUGGCUCAGUGGCUUGAAUGUUGGACUAGCACUCUGGGAGACCAGGGUUCGAAUCUCUGCUUGGCC